rnacentral:rRNA from 1 species
UAAUAGUGUAUAUUAAAGUUGUUGCAGUUAAAAAGCUCGUAGUUGAAUGUUGGUGUCGAACGAGCGGUCAGCUUCGGCUGUACUGCUCUCUCGACUCCUUCCUUCUGUGGACUACGUCGCACUUUACUGUGUGGCGCUAGGACGCGGAUCGUUUACUGUGAAAAAAUUAGAGUGUUCAAAGCAGGCCGUACGCUUGAAUACAUUAGCAUGGAAUAAUGGAAUAGGACGUCGGGCCUAUUUUGUUGGUUCUAGGACCGUCGUAAUGAUUAAUAGGGACAGUUGGGGCCGUUUAUAUUCCGUAGUCAGAGGUGAAAUUCUUGGAUUUACGGAAGAUAAACUACUGCGAAAGCAUUCGGCAAGGAUGUUUUCGUUAA